GGGGGUAUAGCUCAGUUGGUAGAGUGCUUGUCUCACAAGCUCAAAGCCCUGGGUUCAAUCCCCAUCACUACUA
rnacentral:tRNA from 1 species